UCGGGGAGAAACGCAGGCCAGACGUCUCUGAGGAGCGGUCUGGCAGUGUGUUUGAAACAGUGCCGCGUUUUAGAGCACGCCUGGCCCAAUGGCUCAAACCUAUCCUACGGUAGAUACACACAUGUGGUCACAGUGGUAUCCAUGGUGAUGAGUGACUGGAAGACGGCCCCGCAUGUCCACCCUAGUCCAGCACCCUCUGGAGAGCCAGGCGUUACCACUGGUGUUGGCGAGGUUCACACCAUGAGAAAACAUCAUGAACAUGUCUGUGGUGUAAAUGUUCCCAUCAAGGCCAAUUUCAAGCUGCCAACAUGAUGGGAACACAGAGAUGGGAAGAGAUGUACACAGUUGGCUACCAUGAGCCCCAGCACACGGCCUCUCUGCAGCCUAUAGACACCACCACCAAACUGGAAAUCUGGGGUCAUUCUAGACCUCCCAUCUCUUCAUCUCCCAGAUCCAACCAGCCACCACAUCCUACCACCUCUCUCCUGGAUGUCUUCUCUGUCCCCGGCUCUGGGCCAACGCUCAUCAGCUCUCCUUGGACUUCUGUAGUGGCCCCUGCCUGGCCUCCUAGCCCAGGCUACACCUGCCAUGUGACUGUCAGGAAGAUCCUUCUGGAAGUCAGCUAUGAUCAUGGUCUUCUGCUGCUUAAAACUUUUCCCACUUCCCUUAGAAGUGGACCUGAAUUCCAUGGCCCAGCUGUGACAAACCACUAAGAAUUCAAACCCCUUCAGGCCAUGUCAAAGGAUCGCUCAUGCUGAGGGAAGCCAUGUUGUGAAGGUGCUCAGGCAGCUGGCAGAGAGGCCCACAUGGGGACGAAUGGAGGCUUCUGCCCACAGCCACAUGGGUGAGCAAUCUUGGGAGUGGACUGUCCAGACCCAGGUGACAGCUUGCUGGCAGCCUCAUGAGAGACCCUGAACCAGAACUAUCCGCUAAGCUGAUCCUGACCCUCAGAAACUACAUGAAAUAAUAAAUUUGUGCUAUUUUAAGCUGCUAAA